AUUUGAUGAAGUUGUUUUUUAUAAGUGCAAAAUAAAAAUAUUUAUGUAACAGAUUUGAAGAAAAUUUUUUUUACAAGACGAGAAAGCGUACAUUUUUUUUACGAGACGAGAAAGCGCACAUUUUUUUGGUUUGUGGGAGCAUUUCAGAGAAACAAUGUUUCGUGGUCAAAGACUAAUGCUAUCAUGACAGAAAGAGGUACGUACCUCUUUCUAUCAUGUCUAUCAAAGACAUAAUAGAAAGAGGUACGUGCUGCUACUACGGGCUGCUUUUCCAGAUGCAUCUCUGUUACUCUGCUUAUUUCACACUCUUAGCUAAAUACGGAGCUGAAAUAUAUAAUAAAACAACAACAUUACAAAAAAUGAAGAAAAAUAUGGCAAAAAAUCAAUACAUCUUUCUACAAAAAUGCGUCAAACACAAACUCAUCCCAAAGUCAUUACAAAUUAACUGUUCUAUUAAUAACAAUAAAAGUCAUUAUUUAACACUGCUGAACACUUCAUUAUUGAACACUGCUGAGCACUGCAUUAUUGAACACUGCUGAACACUUCAUUAUUGAACACUGCUGAACACUUCAUUAUUGAACACUGCUGAACACUUCAUUAUUGAACACUGCUGAACACUUCAUUAUUGAACACUGCUGAACACUUCAUAUUUAACACUGCUGAACACUUCAUUAUUGAACACUGUUGAACACUGCAUUAUUGAACACUGCUGAACACUUCAUUAUUGAACACUGCUGAACACUUCAUUAUUGAACACUGCUGAACACUUCAUAUUUAACACUGCUGAACACUGCAUUAUUGAACACUGCUGAACACUGCAUUAUUAAACACUGCUGAACACUUCAUUAUUGAACACUGCUAAACACUUUACUAUUGAACACUGCUGAAAACUGCAUUAUUGAACACUGCUGGUUUGAACUUCUUAUUUCUCUGAAAAAUGAUUUAAGAACAUGAUUCUUUAAACAAAUUAAUAAAGUUAAAUUAAUUGAAAAUGAACUCUUGAAAAUACUUGAAACGAAUGAGCCGUAAAAAAAAUCACUGAAAAAGCACGAGAAAAUAUGUUCGUGAAAUCAAGAGAUUAAUUAAAAAAUUCAAACAUCUUCAAGAUCAACGCGUUAAACGAACAUCCCAUUCGACAAUCUAUACUAAAGAAGCUGUUUUAAAUUUGUGACACAGAAAUUCUAGAACAUCAAAAAAAUCUCCUUAACCUUGGACCAAAAUUUGCACCAACAAUAAAAUCUCUUCCGUAUCUUGACAUCAUCUCAAUAACUGAGUCAUCUGCUCUAAAAAUUGAAUACAACAAAAAAGAUGAAGCUGCGCAAAAGUCGAGGAGAGAAGUUUUGAGAGAAUUAAAACUAAACAAAAAAAAUAAAAUUGACAACAUAACUCUUGAACAACGGAAAGCACUUACACAAUUAAAAAACGGUAACAAUAUUGAUAUAUACCCAUUUGAUAAAGGAAUGGGCUUUGUAACGAUCCCUCAUGAUAAAACAAUAAAAAAGAUUCGAGAACAAAUUGGACCACCUAAAAUUAUCAAUAAGGAUCAUUGUAACACAAAGUUAUGCAAUGAAAAUCAGAGUCCAACUAUCAAAAUUAAAUAAAAAAGGUCGGUUCGCAAAGGAUAAAUAUCAUCAAAUUUAUCCCAGUGUCCCGAUACCACCUGUAUGGUUUAGUGAAGGCACAUAUGCCUGAACAUUCUUAUCCAAUAAAAAUUUAAUUAUCUUUAUAAA